rnacentral:rRNA from 1 species
CCCUUAGAUGUUCUGGGCCGCACGCGCGCUACACUGAUGCAUUCAACGAGUCUAAAACCUGCUCUGAUAGGGGUGGGUAAUCUUUUGAAUGUGCAUCGUGAUUGGGAUAGAUGAUUGCAAUUUUUCAUCUUCAACGAGGAAUGCCUAGUAAACGCAAGUCAUCAACUUGCAUUGAUUACGUCCCUGCCCUUUGUACACACCGCCCGUCGCUCCUACCGAUUGAAUGAUCCGAUGAAUAUCAUGGAUUGAGGAUGCAAGUAGGUUAGCCUAUCUUCAUCUUCGAGAAGUGAAGUAAAUCUUAUCAUUUAGAGGAAGGAGAAGUCGUAACA